UACGAGUGCCCCAAGCGUUAUCCGGAAUCAUUGGGCGUAAAGGGUGUGUAGGUGGCGUUAUUAGUCUUCUGUUAAACCCCCGGGCUUAACCCGGGAUCUGCAGGGGAAACGGUAACGCUCGAGGAUGCGAGGGGUGAAUGGAACUCAUGGAGUAGGGGUGAAAGUCCGAUUGAUAUGCAUGGGGAACAACCAAAGCGAAGGCAAUUCACUGGACGCAUUCCUGACACUGAGACACGGAAAGCGUGGGUAGCCGAACUGG
rnacentral:rRNA from 1 species